UACGUAGGGUGCAAGCGUUGUCCGGAAUUAUUGGGCGUAAAGAGCUCGUAGGCGGUCUGUCGCGUCGGCUGUGAAAACUCGGGGCUCAACCCCGAGCCUGCAGUCGAUACGGGCAGACUAGAGUGCUGUAGGGGAGACUGGAAUUCCUGGUGUAGCGGUGAAAUGCGCAGAUAUCGGGAGGAACACCGGUGGCGAAGGCGGGUCUCUGGGCAGUAACUGACGCUGAGGAGCGAAAGCGUGGGGAGCGAACAGG
rnacentral:rRNA from 1 species